rnacentral:rRNA from 1 species
GCAAGGAGCAUCAGGUAACAUUAGAGGUUGAUCAUAACCAGAUUGAACGCUGGCGGGAUGCUUCCACAUGCAAGUCGAACGGCAGCACGGACUUCGGUCUGGUGGCGAGUGGCGAACAGGUGGUAAUCAUCUAUCGGAACAAUGCCCUAGUAGCGGGGGAUAACUACGCCGAAAGCGUAGCUAAUACCGCAUACGCCCUUCAGCGGGGAAAGCGGGGACCUUCGGGCCUCGCACUAUUAGAACGGCCGAUAUCGGAUUAGCUAGUUGGUGGAAGUAACGGCUCACCAAGGCGACGAUCCGUAGCUGGUUUGAAGGACGACCAGCCACCUGGGACUGAGACGGCCCAGACUCCUGCAGGAGGCAGCAGUGGGGAAUUUUGGACAAUGGGGAAACCCUGAUCCAGCCAUCCCGCGUGCGAUGAAGGCCUUCGGGUUGUAAAGCACUUUUGGCGGAAAGAAACGCUGGGAUAAUACCCCAUUACACAACUGACAGUACCUGCAAGAAUGGCACAAGCUAACUACGUGCAGCCGCGGUAAUGCAUCAGGUACGGCGUUAAUCGGAAUUACUGGGCGUAAAGCGUGCGCAGGCGGUUCGGAAGAAAGAUGCGAAAUCCCAGAGCUUAACUUUGGAACUGCAUUUUUAACUGCGAGCUGGAAAUUGUAACUCAGAAAUUGGAAUUCCGCGUGUAGCAGUGAAAUGCGUAGAUAUGCGGAGGAACACCGAUGGCGAAGGCAACCUCCUGGGAUAACACUGACGCUCAUGCACGAAAGCGUGGGGAGCAAACAGGAUUAGAUACCCUGGUAGUCACCUAAACAAUCAACUAGCUGUUGGGGCCUUCGGGCCUUGGUAGCGCAAUAGCAAUGAAGUUGACCACCUGGAAAUACAGUCGCAAGAUUAAAACUCAAAGGAAUUGACGGGGACCCGCACAAGCGGUGGAUGAUGUGGAUUAAUUCGAUGCAGCGAAAACCUUACCUACCCUUGACAUGUCUGGAAUCCCGAGAUUUGGGAGUGCUCGCAAAGAGAACCGAGACACAGGUGCUGCAUGGCUGUCGUCCAGCUCGUGUGCGGCAGGAAUAUGUUGAUUAGGGUCACCGUGGCGCAACCCUUGUCAUUAGUUGCUACGAAGGGCACUCUAAUGAGACUGCCGGUGACAAACCGGAGGAAGGUGGGGAUGACGUCAAGUCCUCAUGGCCCUUAUGGGUGGAGCUUCACACGUCAUCGCAAUGGUCGGGACGGUGCGCCAACCCGCGAGGGAGGCCAAUCCCAGAAACCCGAUCGUAGUCCGGAUCGCAGUCUACGCUCGACUGCGUGAUGUGAAUCAUGAUAAUCGCGGAUCAGCAUGUCUUGGUGAAUACGUUCCCGGGUCUUGUACACACCGCCCGUCACACCAUGGUGGUUUUACAGAAGUAGUUAAGCUGUUGUGGAGGAGAUUACCACGGUAGGAUUCAUGACUGGGGUGAAGUCGUAACAAGGUAG